GGGCUCUUAGCUCAAUGGUUAGAGCAGUCGGCUCAUAACCGAUUGGUUACAGGUUCAAGUCCUGUAGGGCCCACCA
rnacentral:tRNA from 1 species